GAUGAACGCUAGCGACAGGCUUAACACAUGCAAGUCGAGGGGCAGCAUAGAAGUAGCAAUACUUUGGUGGCGACCGGCGCACGGGUGAGUAACGCGUAUGCAACCUACCUAUCAGAGGGGAAUAACCAGGCGAAAGUCGGACUAAUACCGCACAAAACAGGGGCACCGCUUGGGGAUAUUUGUUAAAGAAAUUCGCUGAUAGAUGGGCAUGCGUUCCAAUAGGUAGUUGGUGAGGUAACGGUAUCCCAAGCCGACGAUGGAUAGGGGAACUGAGAGGUUGGUCCCCCACACUGGUACUGAGACACGGACCAGACUCCUACGGGAGGCAGCAGUGAGGAAUAUUGGUCAAUGGGCGAGAGCCUGAACCAGCCAAGUCGCGUGAAGGAAGAAGGAUCUAUGGUUCGUAAACUUCUUUUGCAGGGGAAUAAAGUGCAGGACGUGUCCUGUUUUGUAUGUACCCUGAGAAUAAGGAUCGGCUAACUCCGUGCCAGCAGCCGCCGUAA
rnacentral:rRNA from 1 species